UCAUAGCCUCUAGCCAUUUGUCUGAGUCCCUUCUCAUGAUGGCUUCCGUAUAGGUCAAAGGUUCAUCAUUUUUAAUGAUGUGGGCUUCAUUAUUCUCAAUAAUGAACCCAUACCUCAUAGGUGCAUUCCGCACCCUAUCCGACCUUCAGAGAGGAGGUAUACUUUGUGUUUGUACUUCAUUAAUGGAUAUUUUUGGUUGAGAAUCAUCUUAUGCUUGC
rnacentral:lncRNA from 1 species